rnacentral:rRNA from 1 species
GACGAACGCUGGCGGCGUGCCUAAUACAUGCAAGUCGAACGCAGUUGGGACGGGUGAGUAACACGUGGGUAACCUCCCAUCAGAGGGGAUAACACUUGGAAACAGGUGCUAAACCGAUACUGAUGGAUGGACCCGCGGUGCAUUAGCUAGUGGGUGAGGUAACGGCUCCCAACGGCCACGAUGCAUAGCCGACCGGAUGGGUUGAUCGGCCACACUGGGACUGAGACACGGCCCAGACUCGUACGGGAGGCAGCAGUAGGGAAUUUUCGGCAAUGGACGCAAGGCGUACCGAGCAACGCCGCGUGAGUGAAGAAGGUUUUCGGAUCGUAAACCGCUGUUGUUAGAGAAGCGGUAUCUAACCAGAAAGCCACGGCUAACUACGUGCCAGCAGCCGCGGUAAUUC